rnacentral:rRNA from 1 species
CAGAGGUCCCGAGCGUUGUUCGGAUUCACUGGGCGUAAAGGGUGCGUAGGUGGUGAGGUAAGUCGGAUGUGAAAUCUCCGAGCUCAACUCGGAAAUGGCAUUGGAAACUACCUUGCUCGAGGGUUGAGGGGGGACUGGAAUGCUUGGUGUAGCAGUGAAAUGCGUAGAUAUCAAGCGGAACACCAGUGGCGAAGGCGAGUCCCUGGACAACUCCUGACACUGAGGCACGAAAGCUAGGGGAGCAAACAGGAUUAGAUACCCUGGUAGUCCUAGCCGUAAACGGUGCACGUUUGCUGUAAAAGGAAUCGACCCCUUUUGUGGCGUAGCUAACGCGUUAAACGUGCCGCCUGGGAAGUACGGUCGCAAGAUUA